AUUGAACGCUGGCGGCAGGCCUAACACAUGCAAGUCGAGCGGAGCGGCGGACGGGUGAGUAAUGCCUGGGAAUCUGCAUGGUGGUGGGGGAUAACGUCCGGGAACGGGCGCUAAUACCGCAUACUAGCAGAGGAGCCUAGGGCGGAUUAGCUAGUUGGUGGGGUAAAGGCCUACCAAGGCGACGAUCCAUAACGGGUCUGAGAGGAUGAUCAGUCACACUGGAACUGAGACACGGUCCAGACUCCGACGGGAGGCAGCAGUGGGGAAUAUUGGACAAUGGGCGAAAGCCUGACCCAGCAAUGCCGCGUGUGUGAAGAAGGUCUUCGGAUUGUAAAGCACUUUAAGUUGGGAGGCGUUACCAAAAGAAUAAGCACCGGCUAACUUCGUGCCAGCAGCCGCGGUAAUAC
rnacentral:rRNA from 1 species